rnacentral:rRNA from 1 species
GAAGCCCAGGUAAACGGCGGCCGUAACAAUAACGGUCCUAAGGUAGCGAAAUUCCUUGUCGGGUAAGUUCCGACCUGCACGAAUGGCGUAACGAUGGCCACACUGUCUCCUCCUGAGACUCAGCGAAGUUGAAAUGUUUGUGAUGAUGCAAUCUCCCCGCGGAAAGACGGAAAGACCCCAUGAACCUUUACUGUAGCUUUGUAUUGGACUUUGAACAGAUCUGUGUAGGAUAGGUGGGAGGCUUUGAAGCAGCGCCGCUAGGUGUUGUGGAGCCAACGUUGAAAUACCACCCUGGUGUGUUUGAGGUUCUAACCUUGGCCCGUUAUCCGGGUUAGGGACAGUGCAUGGUAGGCAGUUUGACUGGGGCGGUCUCCUCCCAAAGCGUAACGGAGGAGUUCGAAGGUACGCUAGGCACGGUCGGAAAUCGUGCUAAUAGUGCAUAGGCAUAAGCGUGCUUGACUGCGAGACUGACAAGUCGAGCAGGUACGAAAGUAGGACUAAGUGAUCCGGUGGUUCUGUAUGGAAGGGCCAUCGCUCAACGGAUAAAAGGUACUCUGGGGAUAACAGGCUGAUACCGCCCAAGAGUUCAUAUCGACGGCGGUGUUUGGCACCUCGAUGUCGGCUCAUCUCAUCCUGGGGCUGUAGCCGGUCCCAAGGGUAUGGCUGUUCGCCAUUUAAAGCGGUACGUGAGUUGGGUUCAGAACGUCGUGAGACA